GACGAACGCUGGCGGCGUGCUUAACACAUGCAAGUCGAACAAUGACGACCGAGCUUGCUCGGUCUGAUUAGUGGCGAACGGGUGAGUAACACGUGAGCAACCUGCCCUUCACUCUGGGAUAACCUCGGGAAAUCGGGGCUAAUACCGGAUAUGAGCUCCUGUCGCAUGGCGGGUGUUGGAAAGUUUUUCGGUGAAGGAUGGGCUCGCGGCCUAUCAGUUUGUUGGUGAGGUAGUGGCUCACCAAGGCGAUGACGGGUAGCCGGCCUGAGAGGGCGACCGGCCACACUGGGACUGAGACACGGCCCAGACUCCUACGGGAGGCAGCAGUGGGGAAUAUUGCACAAUGGGCGAAAGCCUGAUGCAGCGACGCCGCGUGAGGGAUGACGGCCUUCGGGUUGUAAACCUCUUUCAGCAGGGAAGAAGCGAAAGUGACGGUACCUGCAGAAGAAGCGCCGGCUAACUACGUG
rnacentral:rRNA from 1 species